GAUGAACGCUGGCGGCGUGCCUAAUACAUGCAAGUCGAGCGAAUGGAUUAAGAGCUUGCUCUUAUGAAGUUAGCGGCGGACGGGUGAGUAACACGUGGGUAACCUGCCCAUAAGACUGGGAUAACUCCGGGAAACCGGGGCUAAUACCGGAUAACAUUUUGAACCGCAUGGUUCGAAAUUGAAAGGCGGCUUCGGCUGUCACUUAUGGAUGGACCCGCGUCGCAUUAACUAGUUGGUGAGGUAACGGCUCACCAAGGCAACGAUGCGUAGCCGACCUGAGAGGGUGAUCGGCCACACUGGGACUGAGACACGGCCCAGACUCCUACGGGAGGUAGCAGUAGGGAGUCUUCCGCAAUGGACGAAAGUCUGACGGAGCAACGCCGCGUGAGUGAUGAAGGCUUUCGGGUCGUAAAACUCUGUUGUUAGGGAAGAACAAGUGCUAGUUGAAUAAGCUGGCACCUUGACGGUACCUAACCAGAAAGCCACGGCUAACUACGUGCCAGCCGCCGCCGUAA
rnacentral:rRNA from 1 species